rnacentral:lncRNA from 1 species
CCCACCGCCCCGACUUUCGCAGACCCCGCCCUCUCCGGAGGCACCGUAAAGGGAGUGAGAGACAGGCAGGCGGGGCUCUUCCGAGACCGCGGGGCGUGAGGCCAUCGGCCAAUCCUGUCUCCUGGCAGCUUCCCGUCCUAGCUAACGGAAGCGGCUCCCGACGCGGGCGGAGGGGCCUCUAGGUGCUGUCCAGGCCUCGGGAACUACCUCCUCAGACCUCCGAGAAAGCCUUAGGUGUGGCUGAGUUAUAGAGGAAGACAAUGUGAAGUAAGGUAGCUCUUCCUCCUUUUGCUUAGGCUGCCUCAAAAGACUCAAGGCAUGCCCCAGAAAUGGGUUUCGAAUCGCCUGCUUUACAGCCACACCCAGACAUCCUGCGGCAGCUCAGCUCAGCACAUUCAGAACCAGAUUUGUGAUUGUCUCCCUCCAGCCUGCUCCCGUUUCUGUUACGGUUAUCAUGAUCUGUCUCUGUGAACCUUCAAGUAGAUGACUUGGCAGGUUAGAGCACCGGCCGCUGACCUUGUCCUGCUUGGCUGAGACUUGACCCGACUAAGGACAUGGAAGGAACGAAGAGAAAACAAGCAAGCGACAGAAGGGCUGGGAUCAGGUGGGCUGUGCACACUGUGAUGGAGCUGCGAUGGCUGUAAAUACCAGGCUGAAGUAUCAUCAACCCUUUAUAAGCAAUUAUACUUGUACACACAGACAUACAUGCAUACAUACAUCUGUGCAUACAUACAUCUGUGCAUACAUACAUACGUGCACAGACCAUAGCAAUACACACAAUCAGUAAGUAAAUUUAAUUUUUCUUUAUCUUUGAGAAUUUCAUACAUGUCUACAAUGAAAUAUGAUUAUAUAUACUCCUCAUUUCCUCUAACUUCCUUCGUGUACCCCCUAACACGUCCCACAAAGAACCUCACGUCUCUUUUUAAAACAAUCAUUAAAUCCAGUUGUGCUGCCCAUAUAUACAUGGUGUAAGAGGAGCUACUGGAACAUGGGAAUCACUGGCCACACCCCCUACAAAGAAUAAAUCUUUCCCCAAAACUAUCAAUUCUCCAUAGCUUCUCUAUGAGGGCAGGGCUGAGAGAUCUAUCCCAUUUAUGUGGGGAUUUUGGCCGCCUUGAUCCUGUGCUAUCAGUUAGGAAUGCAUAGCCCUGCAAUUAUUUGCAUCUAUAGGUUUAUAUUCUUUCAUUUAAUAGACGAAUGAGAUAAAUAAAUAAGUUCCAAAGGCAGUGGAAUCUAGACUGAAGGGGAACCGAAGCAUAACCACGACACAAUUAGGAAACUUUAUGGACCAGAUGCGGAAUUCAAAUGAGGGUCUCAGAAGUGCCGUCAGUGCUCCGGAUAGCAGAGCAGUGUCCUUGUUCUUGAGAAGCUGGAGAGGUCUUUGAGGGUGAAGUUCACCGCACAUGCACACACCAGUCCCAGAUGUUUAGCAAGGACUGGUACGUGUAGAGAGCUGGGUUGGAGAGACGAGGUGUUAAAAUUCACGAAACUAGCUUACAAGUGUGUAGACGGCCACUGCUUUGUCUUGGAAACCUGUCUAUACGUUAAAAACCCUCAAACUUAUGAAGUAGCUGUUUAUAAGAAAGAACAAGUGAGCCUGCUCAUGGUAGCUUCCCAAAACUGGGGAGGCAGAGGCAAGUAGAUCUCCGUAAGUUCGAGGCCAGCCUGAUCUACAGAGCUUCUUCUAGGACAGCCAAGGCUACACAAAGAUACAACAAAAAUCAAACCCACCACCCACUACCACCACAAACAAAGUGUGCAGUGGUAGGCUUCAGGCUUGAUGCUGUGAUAUUACAAAGCCUUAGAGCGGUCACUGCUGCUUCUGACUGUCUUUCCACCAAUCCUCUGCUAGGUGGGGUGUGAAACCUGGGCUUGUCAUCAACUCUCACAGCCACAGGUGGGUGCAGACAGAACAAUUCCUGGCUACCAACCUGAAACACAGAUGGUGUACCUCCCACUUACUAAGGAAUGUUAGCCUGAAAAUUAGCGACGUUAUCAGGGAGGGACUGAGUCCGUUUGAAUCUAUUUUUAAAACAAGAGUGUCCUAAAUCUGGUGUGGAAUGGGUUUGAAGAGUCAAGGAAUAAUUUCGACAUACCAAUGAAAUAUAGACUCUCUGCUGUCUGUGGGAAGCCAGGCUCCGGGUCACUACAGAGGUAAAAAAACUGCCUUUAACUUAUGAGCGAACAUGAUGGAAAUCCUUGCUGGUUUAAAAUGGUGUGUGAUUCAGAGUCUUUUGGUAAAUUCAGACUCUAUGAAAAGAUGACUCAACGUGGCAUGAUGUGGAGAGUUACGAUUUUUCCUACAUCCAGUUUUGAAUCUGGUUCCAGCCACAGGAUUUCUUUCUGACCAUGAGUUCACUUGGGAGAGAGGCAGCAGUCUCCAAUAGGUUUAUACGUGGCCUGCACCCUGAGCUCCCGCCAAUGCCGUGAGACCAGGCCUGGUCCCACCUGCUCACAUGAGUUCCCCAGUCAUUAUAGUGUGGAUCCUCCUAGGCCAGAUGUCUGUCCAUCUACCCCCAGAUAUGGGGGCAAGCACAGCCUGCUCCUCUUACCUCCCCUGACUACGGAUCAUUUGAGGUGAUGCCUACCUGGUGGAAACAUGGCCUACAAGCAGGCUUUUGAAGGAUUCUCCUGCCUCUGGUUUCGCUCGCUUUAUGCCUCCCUGGAUGCUGUGGUGUGAACAGCCUCUACCACACUUGCCAAGAACUGAUCUGAGCUACCUCGCCAUGCCUCCCCAAAGUGAUGGGGUGAAACCUGAAAUCAUUAGUCAAAAAUAAAUCUUUCCCAGUGCCAGAGAGAUGGCUCAGCAGUUAGGAGAGCUUGCCGCUCUUUCAGAGGACCAGCAGCUGUGGUUCCCAGUACCCAUAUUGGGCAGCUCACAUCUACCUGCAACUCCAGCUCGAAGGGAAUCUGAUGCCCACUUCUGGCCUCUAGGGGCACCUGCACACACGUGAUACAUACACUCCCCCCACCACCACCCCUUCCACACACAUUUUUUAACUCUAAAAAAAUAAAAAAAGUAACUCUCUUCUUUCUUCACUUGUUUCUGUCAAGUAUUUUGGUUACACAACAAGAAGGUACCCGCCACAGAAUGUGCAUAAAAAUUUACUGGGACAAAUACCUCUGUGACAGAAAAUGAGUACGGUGCUGUAGGCGAGCCCAGCUGUCAGAAGGCAGGGCGAGUCUGCCCCCAAGUGAAGGGAAGCAAGAAGAAACAAGGGACACUGGCAGCUGUUGGGAAGCCUCA